rnacentral:rRNA from 1 species
UCGAAACUAACUGGGGUAUUCCCCUAGUAACUGCGAGUGAAGAGGGAAAAGCUCAAAUUUAAAAUCUGGCAGUCUUUGAUUGGCCGAGUUGUAAUUUAGAGAAGCGUUACCCGUGUUGGGCCGUGUAUAAGUCUCCUGGAAUGGAGCGUCAUAGAGGGUGAGAAUCCCGUCUUUGACACGGACUUCCGAUACAUUGUGCUAUGCUCUCGAAGAGGCGAGUUGUUUGGGAAUGCAGCUCUAAAUGGGUGGAAAAUUCCAUCUAAAGCUAAAUAUUGGGGAGAGACCGAUAGCGAACAAGCACCGGGAGUGACAGAUGAAUAGAACUUUGGAAAGACAGUUAAACAGUACGUGAAAUUGCUGAAAGGGAAACGCUUGAAGUCAGUCGCGUCAGUUUGGGAUCAGCCUUCCUUUUGGUUGGCGCCCUUCCUUCCUGAUGGGCCACCAUCAUCUUUGAUCCGGGAACAAGAACUUGAUGAAUGGGACAUCUUAGGGGGUGUUAUUCCCUCUUGUGUAUAUAUGGGGUGGCACUGAAGAACUCACCCGCCCCAAGGCCGUCUUUUUGACCACGGUCGGGCUUAUAAGGUGGAAUAAUGGCUUUAAUCCCACCCCGUCUUGAAACACGCACCAAGGAGUCUACCAUGUCCUGGGAGUGUUUGGGGGGAAAACUCCAACCCCGUAAUGGAAAGGGAAAUUUAGGCUCCCCUGUCGGGGAGAUCACUGACGCCCCGCCCCAAAACUUUUUGGAGGGGUUGGGGUUGAACAUGGAUGUUGGCACCCCCAAAAAAGGGAAACUAUGCCCUGAAAAGGGGGAAACCAAAAGAAACUCCGGGGGGAGGCUCGGAGCGGAUUCUGGAGUGCAAAUCAAUCCACAAAAUUUGGGGAAAAGGGGCGAAAAACUAAUCAAAACCAUCUAAUUAGCUGGUUCCUUGCCGAAGUUUUCCCUCAGGGAUGCAGAACCUCCUUGCUAAAUUUAUGGGGAAAAGCGAAGGAUUAAAGCCCUUGGGGGUGGACCACCCUAACCCAUUUUCUGAACUUAA